AAAUGGAGAAUAAAAAAGAUUUUCAGGAAAAUAAUAAUGAGAAAAAAGACCUGAGCAGCAGUAAGCUUCUAGUUACAGUUAAAUAUGUGGCUAAAGCCUGUGAGUAUGGGAGUAGGUGCAGCUUUUUUGUUUUUGUUUUGUCUUGUUUUUGGUACCAGGGAUCGAACUCAGGUCCUUGUGCUUUCGAGACAGGCAGUGGAACCAAUGAGCUAAAUCCCUGGCCCAGUAUGGGAGCAGGUGAAGAAGGAUAGGAUGAAAUUUUAAUAGUUUAAAACACCGAAAACUCCCCUGCUCCCUCUACUCAGUCUCCACUGCUUACAAUUUUCGGAGCGAGGCCCUGACUCACCUCUGCUGCCCCCCUCCCCACAGUGUCCCGUGAGCUGUGCGUCUCCUCAAACCCAUUCUUCACACCAUGGCUGUCCUUCCUCGCAUUGCCCUCCCGAGUUUCUUGAUAUCCUACACUGAGUUGUCAUUUGUCUACAUGUUGAUUUUCCAUGUAAGCCUAACAAUUUUGGGGAGCACAAGUGACAUAUGAAUACAUGUAGAAGUUUUAUUUUUUAUUUUUAUGUUUUUGGUUUUUUGAGACAGGGUCUCGCUAUGUAGCCGAGGCUGGCCUCGAACUCGUGGCCAUCCUCCUGCUUCAGCCUCCCGGGUGCUGGGUUUACAGGCGUGUGCCACCAUGCCUGGCUCUUUGUAGAAGUUUUAAACAGCAAACAUGAACUUUAAGUUUUCCUCAACUCUUUUCUCCGUUACUUUUUCCAGAGAUAACAAUCUGAUCAACAAAUAUUUACUGAGUGCCUACUGUGAGAAGCUUCGAGUAUGACAGCAAUGAAAGAUCACUGGCGCUAUCUGGAGAAGAGACUGUCGGGAAACAAAGGAAUUUUAUUAGGCACAAAGGAAAAGGGCAGUAUUCAACAUCUGUGUCAGAAAAUACUGGGAAUCUCACACACACAGAUCAUCCUGCUCCUCGCUGGACACAUGCCUUACCAUGAAGAACUUACCAUUAUUCCUCAAAUGUGCCACACACCCCACCCUGGCCCCCGUCCUUAAUUAUGCUGUUUCCUUGGCCUUGCUUGUUCUUUCUUCCCAUGGAAAGCCUGCUUAUCCUCUAAGGCCUUGCCCUCCUCUGUGAAGCAUUUCCUAAUUACUCCGUAAGGAUUAUUUCUAGUUAGGAAACAUUUUAUUUAACUUAUAUAUAUUGACACUUCUCCAAGUUUUCUUAAACCUAAGAACCCCUAGGAGCAGAACAGAAUACAUUUAUCAGUCCUGGAGGUGUAGCCUGGAUUAGUAAACCAGCUUACAUCUUUUGAGUUCUACUACUGUUUUAAAAGGCAAAAGAUUUAUACAAUCUGAAGAGAAAGCAGAGUAUUCCACUAUUGUUUUAAAAAUGUGUAAUUUUGUUAUGAAAGGACUUUUAAAAAUUUGACAAAAACAUAUUUAAGAAUACCUAUUACUUCAAUUGUGUAAUUUUUGCUGCACAUUCUUCAAAUUAUAAUUCAAAUUAUAAUAAAAUGGACAUUCUGAAAGAUGUGUCGUGUUUAUUUUGUGCCUUUGUGUGUCCCUCGGACUAAUCAUAUCCUAAUUUGAGAAAUAUGGACUUGUUUGAUGCUCUCAGUAGACAUAAGAUUAGGCACACUGUAGCUAUUUUUAUAUUUUAGUUGCAGCUUUGAAAAGUAGCUCAACAAAUAUUUUCCCUUUGCUCUCAAACAAUAUAAUUAUAAUAUUCUGUCAAUUCUCUUGGCUCACAAUUCUUCUGCCCCUUGAGAGGAGUAAAAAACAAAAGAAAAAAACCGUGUCUACAGACAGGUGAAUAUAGAAGUAAACUGUGGUAUGUCCACAUAAUAAAAUGUUACAUACCACAGAAAGAGGAAUAAAUUGACAUGUAACAAUAGAUAAAUCUUAGAAGCAAUGUUUACUGAAAAAUAUAUGAUAACAUUUUUAUAAAGUUCAAGAACAAGCAAACCUAAAUAAUAUAUUAUUUAGAAAUAUAUAGAUGAUUGAUAAAAAUGUAAUUUUCCUCCACCAAAAUGUUGGACAGUGCUUACUUGUGGGGAGA